rnacentral:rRNA from 1 species
AUUGAACGCUGGCGGCAUGCUUUACACAUGCAAGUCGAACGGUAACAGGCCUUCGGGUGCUGACGAGUGGCGAACGGGUGAGUAAUGCAUCGGAACGUACCCAGAGGUGGGGGAUAACGCAGCGAAAGCUGUGCUAAUACCGCAUGUGAUCUGAGGAUGAAAGCGGGGGACCGAGCAGCAAUGUUUGGCCUCGCGCCUUUGGAGCGGCCGAUGUCGGAUUAGCUAGUUGGUGGGGUAAAGGCCUACCAAGGCGACGAUCCGUAGCUGGUCUGAGAGGACGACCAGCCACACUGGGACUGAGACACGGCCCAGACUCCUAUGGGAGGCAGCAGUGGGGAAUUUUGGACAAUGGGCGCAAGCCUGAUCCAGCAAUGCCGCGUGCGGGAAGAAGGCCUUCGGGUUGUAAACCGCUUUUGGCAGGAACGAAACGGUGUCCGCUAAUACCGGGCGCUAAUGACGGUACCUGCAGAAUAAGCACCGGCUAACUACGUG